rfam:Anoxybacillus sp. BCO1 LR68_contig000006, whole genome shotgun sequence.
UUACUAUUUGUAGACGUUAAAGAACAAAAGGUUCGUGGCCGUAACCACGUUAAAAAACGUA